GAUUUUUUUUAUUGCUAGUUUAGCAGUGAUAAAGAACAAGAGAGUAAGGAAUGAAACGAAAUCAUCCAGUGAACACAGCUCUGGGGCUGUCUUCAUACCAGGAUAGGAGUGAGUCAAGAGAAAUAUACCAGGAUCUUCAGGAAAAAAUAAUUCCUCUCCUCCUCCCCCAUGAAUCAUCACCUGUACCUGCGAUCUGUAUUCUUAAGAGAAAAAGCACUGGUUAACAGCAUUCUCUCCCAACUGACUAUCGUGAGCAUGUUUCUGCAACUCCAAGUCAGACACACCAUCGGAACAAUAACGCUUGUACCACUUCAGAUCAGAAUGAGUUCCUGGCUCUGCUGGUUUCAAUGUGAACUUGGGGAAGUCACUUAAUCUUUUGCAGUAUCCAUUUUUCAUCUAUAAAAGUGGGGUUAAUGACCCUUGCCUUGGAGGAUUGUGGUGAUGAAUAUCAGAGAUAAUAUACUUGUACUUGGCAAGCAACUUUUCAAUAAGUUAGUUUCAUUUCAUGCAAUGGGGAUGAUGAGAAUGGAUACUCUCAAUGUUCACAGGGAUGGGACUUUUGAAAGUCUGGAUAUAUGGGGGUCGUACAGCUGAAGGUUUAGCCUCCUAAAACGGGAACAGAGACCACAGCUGUAGCUUUAUUGGUCAUUUGGGAAUUGAUGUUGCCAUUUUCAUUUCCAUAGUGCCUAAGGAAUGGGGUUAGAGAAUGAGGUUUCCACCAGCAUCAGCAGCAGAAGGUGCCAAGGUGGCUGUGGUAAAUGGGGGGUACAGAGAGGCAAAGAGGGUCCCAGGGGAACCUGCAGGCUAAGGCAGAGACAGUCUUGGUAUCCCCACAACUCAGGUCUCUGCAAGACCACUCAGGUUUGAGUCGUUCUAGUAGAUGGACUAGCAUCAUUGGUAUGGAAUUCAGUUUUUAGUAAGAAGUUUCAACACCUCUGGGCUUCCCUGGUAGCUUAGAUGUUAAAGGUAUAAUCCCUGGGUUUUGAAGAUCCCCUGAAGAAGGGAAUGGCUACCUACUCCGAUAUUCUUGCCUGGAGAAUCCUAUAGACAGAGGAAUCUGGUAGGCUACAGUCCAUGGGGUCUCAAAGAGUCGGAGACAACUAAGCAACUGACACUUUCAGCAUUCUCAAUGUUGUUUAUAAAUAUAUUUACCUCUUUUUCAUCUUUACAUGAGGUAAAUAAGGUAAAUAGUUUGUCAAUCUUAUUUUCUGGAGGAAGAGACUGAUUUUAUAGGUUAGUGUACUUUGCCUGAGGUCACAGUGAGCAAACUCUAUCUGACUCCAUAACCUACAUAUUGGCAGUUCUGCAGCAGUUAAGGCUCCAGCCUCAUGAGAGCAGGAAGCGGGUCCAACCCAGCAGGCACAGAAAUGCACACAAGCAUGAAUAAAGAAAGGUCUCACAGUUUCAACGCAGCUUAGAGCACAUUUUCUCCAGGUAACCUUCCUAGACUACACCAGUACCGCCUCUUUGCCCCUCUUAACACCUGUGACACUUGGAAUUGGAUCCAAACAAAGUCUAUCCUUGAGCCAUCUACUCUGUGAUUGUCUUAUUUCUUGUAUUGGACCAUUCUCCCAAGGCAUUCUACCCAUUUCUCAGAAAAGCUGAAAUACUUAUUUUUUCUCUAAAUCCCCUCAGACUUAGAGAAACACAAACCUCAGCCCCAAAGAUGCCUAUUA
ensembl:lncRNA